rnacentral:lncRNA from 1 species
AAAAAAAAAAGCACACCAAUUAAGAAAAUGAAUUGAUUACAUUGAAGUCAUGUUAAAAAAUAUACAACUUUUCAAUUUUGCCCUUGUCAUGUUUUAGUAAUAAUUAAUGAUGGAGUGGGUUUAAGUAAUAAUUACUGUGCACGUGUAUGAAAAGAAAGUGACUUUUGAACUCAUGAAGAUAGGGUAACGUGAAACAGUAUGGGAGCAUGCAGCUUUGAAUUAUGAGAAUGUGAUUUUUAACAAGGGUAAAAUUGGAAUAGUAG